CGAAGGGGCGUAGCGUUGCUCGGAAUUACUGGGCGUAAAGGGAGCGUAGGCGGACUGUUUAGUCAGAGGUGAAAGCCCAGGGCUCAACCUUGGAAUUGCCUUUGAUACUGGCAGUCUUGAGUACGGAAGAGGUAUGUGGAACUCCGAGUGUAGAGGUGAAAUUCGUAGAUAUUCGGAAGAACACCAGUGGCGAAGGCGACAUACUGGUCCGUUACUGACGCUGAGGCUCGAAAGCGUGGGGAGCAAACAGGAUU
rnacentral:rRNA from 1 species